AUUGAACGCUGGCGGCAUGCCUUACACAUGCAAGUCGAACGGCAGCACGGGAGCAAUCCUGGUGGCGAGUGGCGAACGGGUGAGUAAUAUAUCGGAACGUGCCCAGUAGUGGGGGAUAACUCGGCGAAAGUCGGACUAAUACCGCAUACGACCUACGGGUGAAAGCGGGGGAUCGCAAGACCUCGCGCUAUCGGAGCGGCCGAUAUCAGAUUAGCUUGUUGGUGGGUAAAAGCCUACCAAGGCGACGAUCUGUAGCUGGUCUGAGAGGACGACCAGCCACACUGGGACUGAGACACGGCCCAGACUCCUACGGGAGGCAGCAGUGGGGAAUUUUGGACAAUGGGCGCAAGCCUGAUCCAGCCAUGCCGCGUGCGGGAAGAAGGCCUCGGUUGUAA
rnacentral:rRNA from 1 species